UCGCUACCUUCAAUGAAACAUUUGAUGGUCGUUUCUUGCACCUGCUUUGCAAGGAAGAGAAGAUCAACGUUACUUUCAAUAAACUUUUAAGUGCAUAUCAAGAAGAUGACAAUGGCAUUAUUAGAAAUCUAUUGGAAAUGGUGAUGUGUAUUCAAUCCCACCAUCCAUUGGAAAUCAAUGAAUCCUAUUUUAGUAACAAAAUCUGAAUAUUAUACAACUGAAAGUGUGUUUAACCAAUUGCGGUGUUGAGAUUGGUUACCACAUGAUGUUUGAGAUAACUGACCACUUGCAAAUGUUGUUAAGGUUUCUAAAGUAAGAAACCAAAGACGAAGGUGUGAGAUAUUAGAAUUGAGGAAGUGCACAUUUAUGCUUUGGGCCUCAUGCAUAAACCAUGAAACUUUAUUCAGAAUAAUAUCAAUAAAAGAGAAGGUAGAAGCAUGUAUGUUCAAGAAAGUAUGUUUUCGGGUCCAUUGUCAUGCAUUAUUGGAUUGCAUAUUGUUAUUUAAAGCAAAUAUCCGCCAGUCUUAUACAAUUCUCAGGACAAUGAAAGAAGAUAUCAAGAGGAAAUGUAAUUGCAAAGUGAGUGUGGAUUAGUGUAUGAGAGCAAAGAAAUAUGCUUCAAACGAGUACCAAGGUGGGUUAAAGAUCACUAUUGUGGGAUUUGGGAAUAUGCAUACGAGGUAAAGAGAUCAAACCCAGGGAGCACAUAGAAUAUGGAUGUGAACAUGAUGCCCCAUCGACGUAAUUACUUCAGUGACCUUUAUGUUUGAAGGUGCGAAAUAUGGUGGAUCAAUACAUGUAGGAAAGUUAUUUGUUUGGAUGAGUGCAUCUUAAAUGGUGUAUACAAAGGCGUCAAAUGAGUAUGAAGGACUACAAGUUAUGAUUUCUAAAAGUUUCUUAAUGCUUAAUGUUUGUUAAAAUAGAUUAGACUCGACGACUAUUGUUUAAGUAUAAGAUUCAGUUGGACUACUCAGGCUAUUACCAUCUAACGAUUUUGUGCUUCUGGUUUCUCUGUGCGACUGGACACCAAGAAGGAAGAUGUUAUCCAAUUAGAUCGACCUAUAUGUUUAAUUAAGGGCGUGAAUUUUAACCUAAAAUCCAAAUUUAACUUGCAAAAACGCAGCACAAAGUCGGUCUAUAAUUUCAACUAUAAUAUGAAAACUUUUCGCUUGGAUUGAAAGUCACAUUCCUUACCUGUACGCGUAAAAUUCAUAGAACAAUAUGCACUAAAUAGAAAGAUAAUGAAAUACCUACAACAUUUGAAAGCUGAAACUUGUUUUGCUUUCUCUAAUUAACCUCUUCAUAACACCCUCCAGACAAAAUAAAUACGAAAAUAGAUUAACACAUAACAACAAUCAAGUCUCUUUUUUUUUGUGCUUCUAGGUUGUAUCUAGAACAGAGGCUUGAGAAAUGUAUCACAAAAUAAAACCAUUAAUUUUUUCCAACAACUACUUAAUCACUAAAUUUAAAUACAUCAAGUUCUUUCGUUGUUUGCUUUUUGGUAUAAAAUAGUUGAUGGGUUCUGAAAAUCAUCUGAUUUCACCAGAUGAUUUAGGAGUUUCUUCCUUCGCCUCAGAAUUCACCAGCAUUACUACUUCCAUUGUUGAGUUGGAUGACUUUUAUUGGCAAGAAUCGAAAUGGUGGAGAUUUUGCCAGCAGUUGAAGGUUCUUUUUGUCCUUACUGGUUGUAUUAACUAUUAACCCUGUUCCCCUGUAUUACCAGUUUCAUUUAAUGUACUCAUAAUUGGAUCAGGAACAAUAUAGCACUCAUGAUCCCAAGGAAAAUGCAUCAUUUACAUUACCAUUCAUGACAAUAUGAUCUUAUUGAACCUGUUUCUCUGUAUUGAUUAAUACGAUUAAUGAGAUCUUAUUGAGUAUUGACUAAUGUGAUCUUAUUGAACCUAUUUCCCUGGUUUGAUCUUAUUUGCUUCUAAAAGGUUUAAUGAAAAAUGAAUUUUAUUUUCAAAUACAUUAUCUGAUAACCCAAAGUGUAGUUACGUCUUCGGCAAUGAUGGCUUCAUCUCCUGAAUUUCGACCGCCAUCUCGAGCAGUUACCUUUCCUGUACUUAUGGUUUUGUGGUUCCUUGUCUUUUCUUUAAUUGGGAAGUUACGUUUUGUUUAUGGUGUUAAACAAUGUUUGAGAAAUGCAGGCUUUGUCUCUGCAAGCAUUGGAACACUUGCUGCAUGACUCACUGAUCUUGCUGACAGGGCGAGCAAAGAACCGAGUUUUCACAUGUUGUUUAUGAAUUUCCUUGAGAAAGCUAAUUCAAAACAGCUCAUUUAAGAAAUAGUUCGAGAAAGCUAUGAUAAUUCCAAGGUAUUCUUUUCUACCUUAUGUUUUGCUGUAGAAUCUUGGAGCCUGGCUUGAAAGAUUACAAUUGGGAGAAAUAGAGUUCUACUAUCCCCCAAUCUUUAGAUCGCAAAUUCUUCCAAAGAUCCAAAACCCUCCUCAUCUCUUAGAGUUGUUCGAGCCCGCAUUACAUUGUUUAUUUAGUAUUCAUAAAUGAUUUACAUUUUAGUACAGUCUAUGAUAGAGAUAUAUGUUUAAUGCUAAUAUUUAUAAUAAUAGUCAAUGUUUUAAUAAAUGAAUUUAUACAGAAAAAAUAAUUUAAUAAAUAACCGAUAGCACUCUUGUGUCAAUGACGUUUAGUUGAAGUCAAUGAUGCUUGGUUGAAUAUUAUGUAUAUGUAAGAUAAUGGAAUGAGGUUUGAGAAAACUGGAUUUUUUGCUAUGAAUAUUGAACUUGAAGCAAGAUUUAUGAAACGAGGUAAAUAAAUUUAUUUAAAUCCCAUAUUCAAAGAGUCGUACAUAUAUAUAUGGCUACAUUGAAUGAAACAUUUGAUGGUCAUUUUCUUGCACCUGCUUUGCAUGGAAGAUACUAUCAAUGUUGCUUUCAAUGAACUUUUAAGUGCUAAUCAAGAAGAUGACAAUGUGAUUAUUAGAAAUCUAUUGAGAAUGACGAUGUGUAUUCAACCUUGAUCCCACCAUCCGUUGGAAAUCGAUGAAAUCUAUUUUAGUAAUGAAAUAUGAAUAUUGUACAACCGAAAGUGUGCUUAACCAAUUUUGUUGUUGAGAUUGGUAACCAUAUGAUGUUUGAGAUAACUUACCACAUGAGAAUGCUGUUAAGGUGUCUAAAAUAAGAAACCAAAGAAGAAGGUGUAGGAAGGUGUGUGAUAUAAGAAAUUGAGGAAGUGCACAUUUACGCUUUGGGCCUCAUGCAUAAACCAUGAAACUUUAUUUAGAAUAAUAUCAAUAAAUGAGAAGGUAGAAGCAUGUAUGAUCAAGAAACUAUGUUUAGGGUACAUUGUCAAGCAUUUAUUGCUUUGCAUAUUGUUAUUUAAAGCAAAUAUCCGCCGGUCUUAUAUAAUUCUAAGGACAGUGAAAGAAGAUAUCAAGAGUAAAUGUAAAUGCAAAGUGAGUGUGGAUUAGUGUAGGAGAGCAAAGAAAUAUACUUCAAGUGAGUACCAAGGUGGGUUAAAGAUCACUAUUGUAGGAUUUGCAUGCAUAGGAGGUAAAGAGAUCAAACCCAUGGAGCACAUAGAAUAUGGAUGCGAGCAUGAUGCCCAAUCGAAGUACUUACUUCAAUGACUUUUAUGUUUGAAGAUGUGAAAUAUGGUGGAACAAUACAUGUUCGGAAGUUAUUUGGUUGGAUGAGUGCAUCUUAAAGGGUAUAUACAAAGGCUUCAAAUGAGUAUGAAGGACUACAAGUUAUGAUUUUUUAAAGUUUCUUAAUUCUUAAUGUUUGUUAACAUAGAUUAGACUUGACGACCAUUGUUUUAGUAUAAGAUUUAAUUGGACUACUCAGGCUAUUACUUUCAAACUAUUUUGUGCUUCUGGUUUCUCUGGACAACUGGACACCAAGAAAGAAGAUGUUAUACAAUUAGAUCGACUUAUAUGUUUAGCGGCAUGAAAUGUCACCUAAAUUCCAAAUUGAACUUGCAAAAACGCAGCACAAAGUCAGUCUAUAAUUUCAAUUAUAAUAUGAAAACUUUACGCAUGGAUUGAAAAUCACAUUCCUUACUUGUACGUGUAAAAACCAUAGAACAAUAUACACUAAAUAGAAAGAUAAUGCAAUACCUACAACAUUUGAAAGUUGAAACUUGUUUUGGUUUCCCUAAUUAACCUCUAAUAAUCAUAACAAUAUCCAGACAAAAUAAAUACGAAAAUAGAUUAACUUAUAACAACAAUCACAAGUCUUUUUUUUGUGCUUCUAGGUUGUAUCUGGAAGAGGGGCUUGAGAAAAUUAUCGCUAAAUAAAACCAUUAAUUUUGUCCAACAACUUUUUAAUCACUAAAGUUAUAUACAUGAAGUUUCUUACUUGUUUGCUUUUGGGUUUAAAAUUGUUGAUGGGUUCUGAAAAUCAACUGAUAUUGUCACCAAUCUUGAGCUGCUUGACUUCCUGUUGCUCUGCAACUUUGACUUUUUUGGAGUUUCUUCCAUUGCCUCAGAAUUCACUAGCAUUAAUAAUUCCAUUGUUGAGUUGGUUGACUUUUUUUUGGUAAGAGUCGAAAUGGUGGAGAUUUUAGCAGCAGCUGAAGGUUCUUUUUGGCCUUACUGGUUGUAUUAACUAUUAACCCUGUUCCUGUAUUACCAGUUUCAUUUAAUGUACUCAUAAUUGGAUCAAGAACAAUAUAGCACCCUUGAUCCCAAGUGAAAUGCAUCAUUUACAUUUUGUUUAUGGUGUUAAACAAUGUUUGAGAAAUGCAGGCUUUGUUUGUUUAAGCAUUGGAACACUUGCUGAAUGACUCAUUGAUCAUGGUGACAGAUCGAGCAAAGAACCAAAUUUUCACAAGUUGUUUAUGAAUUUCCUUGAGAAAGCUAAUUAAAAACAGCUCAUCGAAGAAACAGUUCGAGAAAGCUAUCAGAAUUCCAAGCUAUUCUUUUCUACCUUAUUCAUUGAUGGAUUUAAAUAUGGUAUAUAAACCUGGAGUAAUUUGUUAUUUGGGAAUGCAACAGGUUCUUUAAGGUCUGAGCUCAUACAUACCAGUUCAGAAGAGCGUUUGUUGCUCAAGAAUCUUGGAGGCUGGUUGGGAUUGAUUACAAUUGGAAAAAACAGAGUUCUGCUGUCACGCAAGCUUUGGAUCGCAAAUUCUUCCAAAACCCUCCUUAUCUCUUAGAAUUGGUCGAGCCUGCAUUGCAUAGUUUAUUUAGUAUUCAUAAGUGAUUUAUAUUUUACUAUUCAUAAAUGAGGCAAACUAACGCCCCUCCUUGGGGAAAGUCAUAUAGUCUAUGAAAAUGAUGCAAUGUGUGACAGAGUAUGAGUAAAAACGAAGUAUAUUGCUUAUUUAUUAGAAAGAGUUUAGUAGGUUGUUAUUUCCUGCAAUAUGCAUUAAUAAAUAUAAAUUCAAUCGAUGUUUAAGCAUAUGCAUUAGAUUGAAGUGUACCUACUACAAUCAAUAUGAUAAUGCUUUAUAAGAAGCCAAAACUUUUUAAUAAGUUUACUCUUUGGAUAUACAAUAAAGUUUAGUUUGUAAAGACACAUAAGUUGCAUAACGUAAAAGGAAACUUACUAUUGAAAUGUUAUGAACACCUAACGUGAUAGUGCAAAGAACUUCAUCUUAAUUGAUAUUUCCGAGCAAGACUGUGAAAAUAUAUUUGUUCUUCUUGCUAUGUUUUUCUCCGAUUUUCGAGACAUAGGUGGAUAUGUUUGUCUUUGUUUCAUUUGCGUAUGCUCCUUUAAAUAGCAAUGCUAUAACGGCUAAAAACGUCAGUAUUGAAAAUCAAAUAGUCAUGUUCCAACGGUAAUAUUUUGUAACGGUCAUAUUUUUCAAGUUGAGGGAAAGUGGUUGGAAAUUCAUCUAAAUUGUGUGUGUAAAUGUAAAGAUAGUGACAAUCAAACAAUUAAGUUACAACAAUAACAUUCUAUAAUGGUCAUAUUUUUUAAAAUUGAGGAAAAUGGUAGAUAUUCAAAUAAAUUGUGUGUAAAUUUAAAUAUAACGGAAUUCAAAAAAUCAAGUUACAACGGUAACAUUUUAUAACGGUCAUAUUUUUUAAAUUAAAAAAAAUGAGCGGAUAUUCAUAAAAUUGUGUGUUUAAAUAUAAAGAUAUUAAGUUACAUCGAUAAUAUUUAUAACUAUCAUAUUUUUCAAUUUGAGGAAGAGGGUGGAAAUUCAUCUAAAUUGUCUAUGGAAAUGUAAAAAUAUUGAAAAUCAAACAAUAUAUUUACAACUGUGACAUUUUACAACGGUAAAUGAAAUUCAAAUUGAGGAAAAAACCGUGUCGAUAUUCAUAUAAAUUGUAUGUGUAUAUGUAGAGAUAUUAAAAACCAUGUAGAAAUGUUACAAUGGUAACAUUUAUAACGGUCAUAAUUUUCAAGUUGACUAAAAGUGUGUGGAUAUUCAUCUUAAUUGUGAAUAUAAUCUGGGUGCUAUAUUAGUAGAGACAUAUGUUUAACACUAAUAUUUAUACUAAUAGUCAAUGUUUUAAUAAAUGAAUUAAUAUAGAAAAAAUAAUUUAAUAAAGACUUGAUAGCACUCUUGCGUCAAUGAUGCUUAGUUGAAGUCAACGAUGCUCGGUUGAAUUUUAAGUAUAUUUAAGAUAACGGAAUGAUGUUUGAGAAAACCGUCUUUUUUCCUAUGAAUAUUGAACUUGAAGGAGGAUUUGGAAACAAGUGAACGGAAUUAAUUUAAAGCCCAUGUUUAAAGAGUCCUACACAUAUAUAUAGCUACCUUCAAUGAAACAUUUGAUGGUCGUUUCUUGCACCUGCUUUGCGAGGAAGAGAAGAUCAACAUUACCUUCAAUGAACUUUGGAGUGCAUAUCAAGAAGAUGACAAUGAGAUUAUUAGAAAUCUAUAGAAAAUGUUGAUGUGUAUUCAAUCCCACCAUCCAUUGGAAAUCAAUGAAACAUAUUUUAGUAACAAAAUCUGAAUAUUGUACAACUGGAAGUGUGUUUAACCAUUUGUGGUGUUGAGAUU
rnacentral:lncRNA from 1 species